UGUGCGGAAAACAGAUUGUAGGGGCAC
rnacentral:piRNA from 1 species